rnacentral:rRNA from 1 species
GACGAACGCUGGCGGCGUGCUUAACACAUGCAAGUCGAACGGAAAGGCCCUGCUUUUGUGGGGUGCUCGAGUGGCGAACGGGUGAGUAACACGUGAGUAACCUCCCCUUUACUUUGGGAUAACUUCAGGAAACUGGGGCUAAUACCGGAUAGGAGCUCCUGCUGCAUGGUAGGGGUUGGAAAGUUUCGGCGGUAGGGGCUGGACUCGCGGGUUAUCAGCUUGUUGGUGGGGUAGUGGCUUACCAAGGCUUUGACGGGUAGCCGGCCUGAGAGGGUGACCGGCGACAUUGGGACUGAGAUACGGCCCAGACUCCUACGGGAGGCAGCGGUGGGGAAUAUUGCACAAUGGGCGGAAGCCUGAUGCAGCAACGCCGCGUGCGGGAUGACGGCUUUCGGGUGGUAAACCGCUUUCGCCUGUGACGAAGCGUGAGUGACGGUAAUGGGUAAAGAAGCACCGGCUAACUACGUG